CCCUCCGGGCGGCCGCCGUGCGGCCUCUUGGUCCCUGGGCGCGCUCCUGCCCCCGCCCAGCCUCUUGAGGGAAGACGGCCCUAUGGGUUGUAAACCUCUUUUGUCGGAGAACAAAACCCGGGACGUGUCCCGGACUGCGUGUAUCCGAAGAAAAAGCAUCGGCUAACUCCGUGCCAGCAGCCGCGGUAAUACGGAGGAUGCGAGCGUUAUCCGGAUUUAUUGGGUUUAAAGGGUGCGUAGGCGGUCCGUUAAGUCAGCGGUAAAAUUGCGGGGCUCAACCCCGUCGAGCCGUUGAAACUGGCAGG
rnacentral:rRNA from 1 species